rnacentral:rRNA from 1 species
UACAGAGGGUGCAAGCGUUAAUCGGAAUUACUGGGCGUAAAGCGCGCGUAGGCGGUUUGGUAAGUUGGAUGUGAAAGCCCCGGGCUCAACCUGGGAACUGCAUCCAAAACUGCCAGGCUAGAGUACGGUAGAGGGUGGUGGAAUUUCCUGUGUAGCGGUGAAAUGCGUAGAUAUAGGAAGGAACACCAGUGGCGAAGGCGACCACCUGGACUGAUACUGACGCUGAGGUGCGAAAGCGUGGGGAG